GUCAACUGUCCUCGCUGGUCAAUUAAGAGUCAGCACUGGCUGCGUAUGAGAUAAUUCACCGUUUGACAAGCUUAUGGGAUGAGCAUUAUGGAAAUGGCGACAAAUGAAUGCGAGUCUAUUUGACAGUCAAGCCGGUUAGGUCUUUUCAAAGUUGUUUGUCCGACGACACUUGUUUAUACGCUGCAGUGUCUCGAGGUGAAGGAUGUCACGAGUCUCUCGCGUUUUAAACAGAUGAGCGUCACGUGUGUGUGUGUGUCCUGUAGAGACGCUCACAUCACACACACACACUUUCACUGGUGUGAUAAUGAGUGAUGGAGAGAGGAUACGUCAGUCCCAAGAGGACAAGAGGAAAGGUAGCGAAAACUGCCCACCUCAUAUGGUUCAGUCUUGACCCGGCACCAGUCCAGCAGCAUCUGUUUGACAUCUUUGGUAUUUGGGCCCCC